AAAUUAAUUUCAAAUUAAUCCAUUCUUUUUCAUGUUUGAACAUAAUGACGAAUUUGGACAUGGUGGGCGUCUGCUUUGCGUUCCAAAUGACAUCACACAACUUCAAAGAGUUGAAGUUGAAAACGCAAUAUAGAGUCGAAUCUGCUUUUGACAUCAGAAUGUCAUUUUUUUCCCCACAAACUGCUCCGACUGUGGUCGCAAUGUUGUCUCUGGAUUCCAUAGGUCGGAGUAUACAUUAUAUAUCCUUUAAAAAAUAAUUUCGUUAUAAAAUGUGAGGCUUUUUUUUCCACUCACCUCGCAUCCAUCAGUCAUGAGUGGGCCAGAGAUCCUUGCCGAACGGAACGAUAAACAUCUUGACUUCUCUGAAAAAGAAAUCAGGGAUUAUGCAGAGGACAUUGGCAUUAAUCCAGAGACGGAGCCACAUUUCAUGUGGUUAGCCAAGGAAGCCAUUGUUGCCCCGCUGCCUGCAGGAUGGUUGAAGCGUGAAGAUGAAGGCGGGAAAAUUUACUAUCACAACUGCCAGUUGAACGCAUCCAUUUGGCAACAUCCCAGCAAAGUGCACUACUCCAAGUUGGUGGUUCAGGAGCGUGAUCGUAUCCAGCCCAAGGCUAUUGAUGGGACCUCAAUGGUGACGAACAAGCAGAAAUAUAAGAAACAGGAGGAAAGAAAAAGGGUGAAGGACAUAUUGAAAACACAGGGAGACUCCAAAAACAGUGAUCCAGAUCCAGUAGAAGAUUACCAAGACAAUACAAAAACAAGUUUUGGAGACCAUGGUUCUGAAUCCUCUCAACAACAGCUGUCAGGAGAGUUUUUCUACUCCAGUGAUGUUUUAGAGACUGUAGUUGAAGAAGAGCAUGGGUAUAUGAAGUACAAGAAGAUCAAAGCAGCUAAAAGUUCCCUUCUGUCUACAGCAGCUAUUAAUAGUCCCCAAAUCCUUGAGGAGCACCCUGAUGAAGAAUUUAAGAUAUCCCAAGAAGACAUCAAGGCAUAUGCACAGGACAUUGGUAUUGAUCCAGAGACGGAGCCGGAGCUUAUGUGGCUUGCCAAGGAGGCAAUGUUUGCCCGACUGCCUCCAGAGUGGGUUGCUUUCCAAGAUGAGAGUAAGAAUAUUUUCUAUUACAACUACCAGUUAUCGAUAUCCACAUGGGAGCAUCCUUGCGAUGUGAAGUACCGCCAACUGGUGGCUCAAGAGCGUGAGCGCCUCAAGCGGAGUGCUCUCCUCUUGGACUCAGAAGGCAAACAUGAUAUAGAAGAAGAGGGGUCUGUUAAAACAACAAAUGACUGCAUAGACACUGAUGCAGUGGAGAAGAUGACUGAGCCAGGAGUGUACAAGAAAGCUCAUUCUGAGAACCAAACUACUGAAGCAUCACAGCAACAGCAAUCAGCAGAGUGUCUGGCUUCUGACCACUCUUCUAACCAUGACAUCACUGAGAGGGGGGAAGAGCAGUAUGUCGAGAGCCACCUUGAGUCCACAGCAAGCACGAGUAGCCUACAGAUCCCUGAGGAGCACCAUGAUGAAGAACCUACUCUUUCUGAAGAAGAGAUUAGGGAAUAUGCACGGGAUAUAGGCAUUGAACCAGAUAGAGAGCAACAGCUUAUGUGGCUUGCCAAGGAGGCAAUUGUUGCUGGACUUCCUCCAGGAUGGAUGGAGCGAGAAGAUGAAACCGGGAAUGUUUACUAUCACAACUGCCACAAGGACACAUCCAUUUGGGAGCAUCCCAGAAAGGAGUACUACUGUAAGCUGGUGCUUCAGGAGCGUGAGCGUAUCCAGCGCACAGCUGUUAACGGGGCCAAUGCGAUGAAGACGAACAAGAAGAAAUCCAAAGAGAAACUUGAGGAAAAGAAAAUGACCAAUGACAAAUUCAAAACACAGCAAGUGUCAGGAAGGCUGCUGGAUGCUGGUUAUUUUAUGGCAGCGGAUAUUGAAGUGAGGGAAGAAGAGUGGCGAUCAGAGAAUGCUAUGAGGGUCCAUGCAGACAAAAAUCAACCUCCACCUGGUACCUUACUGUCCAAAAGUCUACCAUGCCAUGAGGAGCAAGAUGUAUGGCUGCAACAAAAAACACCAAUAGAAACAUCUGAAUGUCAACUUCAUCCUAAUUCCAAAUCCCAAACUAAACAUCCUCAACACUCUGUAGAAAAUUUGAAGAGCCUAGUGGAAGAACAUCAGAAGUGUGAAAUCCAUCUUGAAGAGGAGAGAGGAGCGAGGGAGGAAAAGAGGUACAGUUCUGAAAAAGAGAAGCGCAAUCUGAGACAGAGAAACGUAGAGAACGAAAAAAGAAGUGAUGAAAUCGAUUGGAAGGGGGAUCUCGCACAGUUGAUGAGAGAAAAGGAGCUUAACUUGAAUCUUGGUGAAAACAAGGUAAAGAAAGAGGAUAUUGAGAAGGUGGGGGAUUUGGAUAAUCAGAUGGAAAUGGGAACGUGUAACCACCAGGAGGACAUGAGGAAAGAAGAGGAGGCCACGUGUUUGCUGGAGAAAGAGAAGGGAAGACUUUUCCACAAGGAACAACGAGGUAGAGCGGAAGAGGAGGUCAAGAAGUUGAAUAAGGAAAGGGACAUUGGAAAACACAGCUUCCAGAAUGAGCUGAAGAGGAAAGAAGAAGAGGAGGCAGAAACUUUAACAGUCAAGGAGCAGUCUACAAACCACAAAGAUAUAAGGAGGGAGGAAGAGGUAGAGGCAGAGCACCUCAUGAGGGAGAAGGAAAGAAAACAAUUGUAUCAGAUGGCGCUGAAAAGGGAAGAAGAGGAUGCUGAGAGGUUGAAAAGAGAAAAAGAGGCGAGAGCCUGUCUUCGACUGAAAGAGCUGAGAAAUGAGGAAGAGAUGGAGGCGAAGCGUUUAAAGAAGGAUAUGAAAUUGAGACUACGUUUUUGUAUGGAGGAACUGAGUAGAGAUGAAUUUAAAUGUUUGGAACAAUUCAAAAGGGAAAAGGAUAAGAGAAUACAUUCACGCCAAAGGGAGCUGAAAAGAGAGGAGCAGGAGGAGGCAGAACAAUUGAAGAAGGAGCAGCUGCUAAGGAUACAUGUCUUACAAGAGGAACUAAGCAAAGAGGAGGAGGAAAAGCGUGAGCAGUUGAAAAGGGACCGGGAGAUAAGAAUGCGCCUCCGACUGGAGGAGCUAAAAAGAGAGGAAGAAGAGGAGGUAGAACAGUUGAAGAGGGAGAGGGCAAGGAGGAGUAGGAAGGAGGAAGAGGAGGCAGAAAGUUUUAAAGAGUCCAUAAUGCAUCUUCGUCGGCAGAAAGAGAUGAUGGAAGAGCAAAAAAAGGAGAUUGAGUUGUUGAACAGUGAAAGAGAGAAGCAGAUACAUCUCAGACGGGAGGAGCUAAAAAAAGAAGAAGAAGAACAUUUGAAACGGUUGGAGGCAGAGAAGGAGGCAAGAAUGAGCCAGCACUGGGAACAGCUGAUGAAAGAGGAAGAGGACACGCGAAAGCAAAAGGAAGAAAGCAUAAGAACAGAGACUGAAAAGAAAAUGCGCCUUUACAGGGAGCAGCUGAAUAAAGAAGAGGAGGAGGAGGAAAGGCGGUUGAAACUGGAGAAAGAGAAAAUAAUUUGUCUUCACCAGAAGGAGCUAAGGGGACAGGAAGAAGAAGAGUUGGAGCAGUUGAAAGCAGAAAAAGAGGCAAGAAUGUGUCAGCGCCGGGAACAGCUGAGGAGAGUUGAAGAGGAGGAGGCUAUGGUGUUAAAGCAGGAGGAGACAAGCCUGAAAACAGAGACUGAGCAGAAAAUUUUCCGCCACAAGGAGCACCUAAAUAAAGAGGAAGCGGUGGAAGUAGAGCGGCUGACGAUGGACAAAGAGAUGAGAGUGCAUUUCCUCCAGGAGGAGCUAAGGAAAGAGGAAGAGGAGGAGAUAGCCAGGUUGAAACAGGAAAAGGAGACUAGAAUGCAGCAGUGUUCCAAGGACCUCUUUCGAAAGGAAGACGAAGACAUGACGCAGUGGAAGGAGGCAAGAAUUCGCUGUUUCCAAGAAGAGCUGAGGCGAGAGGAAGAGGAGCAGAUGGAGAGGCUGAAACAGGAGAAGCAGACUAGAAUGCAUCUCUACCAUGAGGCCCUACUUCGAGAAGAGGACAAAGACGUGAAGCAGUGGAAGAGUGAGAAGGAAGCAAGAAUUCGCUGUCACCAAGAAGAUUUGAGGAAAGAGGAAGAAAUGAUCAAUACAAAAAUGGGCCUAUGGAAGGAGAAGUUGAUGAGAGAGCAAGAGGAGGCGGUGCAGCAGUUGAGGGCAAAGAUGGAAAUGAAAUUGUGCCAACGUCGGGAGGAUCUGAAGAAAGAAGAAGACGUGCAGGCACAGCGCUUGAAGGCUGAGAUGGAGAUGAGAUUUCAACUCCGCCGGGAGGAGUUAAGCAAAAAGGAAAGGAAUGUGGCUGAGCAGUUACAGAGGGAGGAGGCGGCAAGUAUUCAUAUCCACAAAGAAAAGCUUAGAAGAGAGGAAGAGGAAGAGGUGGAACAGUUGAAAACAGAAAAGAAGUUGACAAUGCAACACCACAGGGAUGAGCUAAAGAGAGAGGAACAGGAGGAGGUUGAGCAGCUGAAGAAGGAGAAGGAGGCAAAAAUCCGCUGUUGUUGGGAAGAGUUAAACAAAGCAGAAGAAAAAAAGUUGGACGAAAUGAAGAGGGAGGCAACUAAAUUAAAGAUGGAGGCGGAAACAAGAAUGCGCCUCUGCAAAGAGGCGCUGAAGAAAGAGGAAGAGAAAGCAGUAAAGGAGAUGAAGACUGAAAAUGAAACAAGAAUACGUCAACGCCGGGAAAGGUUGAAGAGAGAUGAACAGGUGGAGGUGAAGCAAAUGAAGACAGAUAUGCAAUCAAGGAUACGUCUUUGCAAGGAGGAGCUGACGAGAGAGCAAGAAGAGGCGAUGCAGCAGUUGAAGACUAAGAAAGAAACACAUAUACAUCUCGGCGAGAAACUGAGGAGAGAGGAAGAAGAGGAGAUACAGCAGUUGAAGACUAAGAAGGAAACAAAUAUAAAUCUCUGCAAGGAGGAACUGAGGAGAGAAGAAGUAGAGGAGAUGCAGCAGUUGAAGAUUAAAAAGGAGACAAAUAUACAACUUUGCAAGGAGGAACUAAGGAGAGAGGAAGAAGAGGACAUGCAGCAGUUACAAAUUAAGAAGGAAACAAAUAUAAAUCUCUGCAAGGAGGAACUGAGGAGAGAAGAAGUAGAGGAUAUGCAGCAGUUGAAGAUUAAAAAGGAGACAAAUAUACAUCUCUGCAAGGAGGAACUGAGGAGAGAGGAAGAAGAGGAGAUACAGCAGUUGAAGAUUAAAAAGGAAACAAAAAUACAUCUCCACCAGGAGGAGCUGAGAAAAGUGGCAGAGGAGGAGGUGUAUCAGUUCAAACAGAAUAUAGAGAUGAGAAUGCGCCUCUGCCGGGAGGAGUUAAAGAGAGAGGAAGAUGAGGUGGAGAUGUUGAGGAAGGAGGAGAAGAAGAAAAAGAAAGAGAUUGAGCUGAGAGUGCGUCUUCAGCAGCAGGAGCUGAGGAAAGAAGAAGAUGAGUCAGAGCGUUUAAAGACCAUCAAGGAGACCAGAAUAAGCCUCCUGUUGGAAAAGCUGCGCAAAGAAGAGCAGGAAGAGGCACAGCGUUUAAAAGAGGGGAUUGGAAAGAGAAUACACCUCCACCAGCAGCAGCUCAUGAUAGAGGAAGAAGAUGAGUUGGAGUGUUUAAAAACUGAAAAGGAGACAAGAAUGAACCUGUGUCUAGAAAAGUUGCGCAGAGAUGAAGAAGAGGAGGUGCAGCAUAGAAAAAGUGAGCUCGAAAAGAGAAUACGUCGCCACCAACAGGAUAUUAAGAGAGAGGAAGAAGCUGAGGUGGAACGUUUGAAGGCAUCAAAGGAAACAAGAUUGAGCCUCUACCAGGAGGUGGUAAAUCAAGAGGAACGUAGAGAGUUGGAGCGUUUGAAGGAGGAGAAGGAGUUAAGAAUGCACCACCACCAAGAAAACCUGUGGAGAGAAGAAGAAGAGGCAGCGGAGCAGCUAAAGAUUGAAAAGGGGAGGAGAAUGCUUCUCCAGCAGGAGCUACAAAGAGAGGAGGAGGAGAAGCAGGAGGCGGAACAGUUUAAUAGGGAGCUCUAUUUGAAGGCAGAAAUGGAGAGAAAAAUCUGUCUGCAACAGGAGGAGCUGAGAAAAGAAGAGGAGGCUCAAGUUGAGUGCUUAAAGAGGGAGACAGAGAAAAGAAUACGUCUUCGAAAGGAGGAGAUGAGGAGGGAGGAAGAAGAAGAGGUUGAGCGAUUAAAGCGGGAAAAAAUUAAGAAGAUACGACUUCGGCAGGAAAAACUGAGGAAAGAAGAAAAUGUAGAAAGGUCGCAAAGCGAAAAAGAGACCAGACUGCGUCUCCGUCAGGGCAGGGAGAAGGAGAAAAAGAAAACACAUGUCCGUCAAGAGGAAGUGACCAAAGAGGAGGAGGUCGAAUCACUAACAAGGGACAAGGAGAAACAGUCCAGUCUCCCCGAGGAAGAUCAGACUAAAGAAGAAGAGACACAGAAACAAAAGAAAGAAAAGGAGGAGCAAAUUAAUUUUUGCAAAGAAGAGCUUAGCAGAAAGGAACAGAAUACUGAGCAAGAAAAGAGAGACAAAGAAAGGAGAGCACAUCCACGUCAGGAAAAGCCACGGAAAGAAGAUACUAUGGAUCGUCUUAGAGGGGUAAAAGAAUGCAGAAUGCGUUUUCCUCAGGAGAAGCAACAGAGAGAAGAGGCGGAUCAGAAGAGAAUAUCUCCACAUCAGGAGAAACGGAUUCCAGAGAAGGUGGAGACAGAUUCGUUAAACAUGGAAAUACAGACCAAAACAUGUGUACACCAAGACGAGCCUAACCGAGAGGAAGAGGUGUCAGAGUGUUUAAAGCCACACAAUGACAACAACAAUCUUUUCCAUCAGCUGAAUGUGAGUAUAGAGGAAAAUGAGGACGCUAAUGAGGACGCUAAUAGGUCGGCAAUGAGGAAGAAUGAAAAAGAGAAGUGUACAUGUCUCCACCAGGAGGAAUUGAGAGAAGAAGAGGUGGAGACGGAUCGAUUUAAGAGGGAAAAAGAGCGAAGAACAUAUGGAGGCCAAGAGGAGCUAAGUAGAGAAGAUCAACGCCAAGAGGAGCUGAGUAGAGAAGAGGAGGUGGAGAUUCAGCGGUUGAAAAAGGAGAAGGAGACAAGAACACUUCUCCUCCAGCAGGAACUGAGGAGGGAAGAAGAGGAGAAGGCACUGUUUUUUAAAAAGGAGAAAGAGAGACGAACACUACUACGACAAGAGCAGCUGAAGAAAGAGGAAGAGGAGGAGGCGGAGUACUUGAGGAGGGAAAAGGAAAAGAGACUGCAUCUUUGCCAGGUGGACCUCAUGAGAAAGGAAGAGGAGAACAGGUUGAACAGGGAGAAGGAAAAAAGAACACGUCUCCACCAGAUAGAGCUAAGUAAAGAAGAAGAGGAGGAGCGGUUCAGGAGGGAGCAGGAGAUGAGACUGCGUCUUCGCCAUGAGGACCUGAUCAAGGAGGAAGAGGAGGAGGCGGAAAGGUUGAAAAUGGAAAAGAAGAAGAGAAUGCAAUUACACCUAGAAGAGCUGAGGAAGGCGGAGGAGGAGGAAGCCGAAAAGUUAAAAAGGGAAAAAGCCAAAAGAAUGCAACUUUUUCAGGAAGAGUUGAGGAGAGAGGAAGAGGAGGAACGGUUGAGAAAGCAGAAGGAAACGAGGUUACGCCUCUGCCUGGAAGAACUUAAGCGACAGGAAGAGGAGGAGAUGGCGCAGCUAAAGAGGGAGAAGGAGAAGAGAAUGCGCCUCUGUCAGGAAAAGUUAAGAAGAGAGGAAGAGGAGGAGGUGGAGAGGCUGAAGAGGAAGAAGGAGAAAAGAAUGAAUCUCCACCAGGAGGACCUCAGGAGGGAGGAAGAAGAGGAAGUGGAGCAAUUGAAGAAGAAAAUGUGCAUCUUCCAGUUGGAAUUGAGGGGCGACACUGAGGGAAAUUUGGAGAGAUUUAAAGAAAAGCGACUGCGUCUUCAAGAAAUAGAUAUGAGGGGAGAAGAGGAAGAGAAGAAACUGAAGACAGAGUACAGGGAUAGGCUCAGGGCGCUGCGACUGCGUCUCAUGACAUGGAGGAAAGAAGAGAAGGUUUUGUUGAACAAUUUAUCUGACCAGACUGAAGAAUUAACACAAUGUGACCAAGAGAUAGACGACGAGACAUUCAGGCUCCAGACAGUGGACAUAUGCAUUGACAGGGGAACAUCAGACCAGUCUACUCAGAUAAGGCAGUACUUUGAGCAUCUGAGGGCGGAAGCAGAGGAGCUGCAGGAAAACCAGAUGUUUUACAGUCAAGAGGUAGCUAAAGUCAGUGACUGUCUCAGCAGCUUGGAGAUGUGAAGAUUUGUGAUCCGAUCCUUUAAUCUCCUUCUGAACUGGUGACAUGGUAGCACAGAAAGAUGUUCCACAUCUGCAAAGUCUCCGCAUCAGAGCAUCUUUGUGGACUAAAAAAAAUCAGCACCAAAAUCAGGGGUGGAAAAAGACCACCGUUGGCACAAUUAUUGGAAAAUAGAGAAACUUCAAUGUCGCCCUCGCUCCGUUCUUAGCUUCUGGUGUAAGCACCAUUCUGAGAAAGCUGACUUACCCACAAUUAAGCAAGAAGAGCUGGGUAGUUGGGGACCAGUUCGCCUGAAAAUCACCUAAAUGGUGCAGAGAAGACCCGGAAGACCAGAAUGAAGCUCUUUGGCACAACUCGACUUGGAGCUAAUAACAUCAGCUGUUCUCUGCUACAGGAAGACUUCAUGGACCGGAAUGGAUGAUGAACUGGGCCAUUAGCAGAUACAAAAUCAUUUUAAAUUUCACAUGAAAAGCUAAUGUGCUUAUACUGUCUGUCAGAUCCUAUCAGGUCAGGACGUGUAGUGUCUACUAGACUAUGAAAUAACAUGUUUUCCAUAUGGUGGAAGAUUGCGUUCCUAUGGAGCUAGCAGACCGAUAUUCUUGUAAACAGUGGUACAUCAUUGUGAGCAGGUAAUAAAGUGUAGCCAAACCAAAGUCUGACAGCACAUGUGUGAUUACACACAUUCCACAAGAGAGGACCCUUAAAUAUGUUUAUGGCAUAAAAGGAGUCGGGCCUCUUCUCCUUGAGUUAAGAUUAUCAACUGAAUGACUAAGGCGACAUCAUUUUGGUCAUAAGAGCUGGUUGUCUGUGUGUCCGAGGAGAGAGCACAGUAUCAUUUGGCUGCAUCUCCUCCACCUGUUGUGAUGUUCACUGGUCAAUUGCUUCAAAACUACAGUAAACCUCCACGAAAAACAGAUGCGCUCAAAAAAAGUGU